rnacentral:rRNA from 1 species
AUUGAACGCUGGCGGCAUGCCUUACACAUGCAAGUCGAACGGCAGCAUGGAAGAGCUUGCUCUUCUGAUGGCGAGUGGCGAACGGGUGAGUAAAGCAUCGGAACGUACCGUGUAGUGGGGGAUAACAUAGCGAAAGUUACGCUAAUACCGCAUACGCACUGAGGUGGAAAGCAGGGGAUCGCAAGACCUUGCGCUAUACGAGCGGCCGAUGUCAGAUUAGCUAGUUGGUAGGGUAAAGGCCUACCAAGGCGACGAUCUGUAGCGGGUCUGAGAGGAUGAUCAGCCACACUGGGACUGAGACACGGCCCAGACUCCUACGGGAGGCAGCAGUGGGGAAUCUUAGACAAUGGGGGAAACCCUGAUCUAGCCAUGCCGCGUGAGCGAUGAAGGCCUUAGGGUUGUAAAGCUCUUUCAGUGGGGAAGAUAAUGACGGUACCCACAGAAGAAGCCCCGGCUAACUCCGUGCCAGCAGCCG